UACGUAGGGACCGAGCGUUGUCCGGAAUCAUUGGGCGUAAAGCGCGUGUAGGCGGCCUUUUAAGUCCUGCGUGAAAUCCUGCGGCUCAACCGCAGACGGUCGUGGGAAACUGGAAGGCUAGAGUGCGGGAGAGGAGAGUGGAAUUCCCGGUGUAGCGGUGAAAUGCGCAGAUAUCGGGAAGAACACCCGUGGCGAAGGCGGCUCUCUGGAACGCAACUGACGCUGAGACGCGAAAGCGUGGGGAGCAAACAGG
rnacentral:rRNA from 1 species